UGUGUGAUUGAUUGUGCUCAGUUUUCUUCUC
rnacentral:piRNA from 1 species